CAGGGACUGUGUUAAAUGUGGAAGACACAGGGUGAACAAGAUCAGAUCUUUCUCUCAAGAAGUUGGAAGUCAAGAGAGGAAGGCACACAAAUCAAAUAAGCAAAUGAUGGAGGCAGCUGGCUAUUUCUCACCCUACAUGGACUACCAAGACUCGUUCCAGGAAACAGAGAGAGUAUCUUGGCCUAUGACAUAUUUUCUGUAAGGCAGAAAUGACGUGCUCCAGGAAAAGUCCAGUUACAACUUUUGGCUUACUUGGGAUACAAAAGGACAAGAUUUUCCUGACCUACUUACAGAAAACUGAAUUAUCAACUACUGCAAACAAGCAAUCAUACUAAAUAAAGGCACUUAGCCAAGA